GACGAACGCUGGCGGCGUGCCUAAUACAUGCAAGUAGAACGCUGAAGGAGGAGCUUGCUUCUCUGGAUGAGUUGCGAACGGGUGAGUAACGCGUAGGUAACCUGCCUGGUAGCGGGGGAUAACUAUUGGAAACGAUAGCUAAUACCGCAUAAUAGCAGUUAUUGCAUGAUAACUGUUUGAAAGGUGCAAUUGCACCACUACCAGAUGGACCUGCGUUGUAUUAGCUAGUUGGUGGGGUAACGGCUCACCAAGGCGACGAUACAUAGCCGACCUGAGAGGGUGAUCGGCCACACUGGGACUGAGACACGGCCCAGACUCCGACGGGAGGCAGCAGUAGGGAAUCUUCGGCAAUGGACGGAAGUCUGACCGAGCAACGCCGCGUGAGUGAAGAAGGUUUUCGGAUCGUAAAGCUCUGUUGUAAGAGAAGAACGAGUGUGAGAGUGGAAAGUUCACACUGUGACGGUAUCUUACCAGAAAGGGACGGCUAACUACG
rnacentral:rRNA from 1 species